AAACCAACCGGGAUUGCCUUAGUAACGGCGAGUGAAGCGGCAAAAGCUCAAAUUUGAAAUCUGGUACCUUCGGUGCCCGAGUUGUAAUUUGGAGAGGGCAACUUUGGGGCCGUUCCUUGUCUAUGUUCCUUGGAACAGGACGUCAUAGAGGGUGAGAAUCCCGUGUGGCGAGGAGUGCGGUUCUUUGUAAAGUGCCUUCGAAGAGUCGAGUUGUUUGGGAAUGCAGCUCUAAGUGGGUGGUAAAUUCCAUCUAAAGCUAAAUAUUGGCGAGAGACCGAUAGCGAACAAGUACAGUGAUGGAAAGAUGAAAAGAACUUUGAAAAGAGAGUGAAAAAGUACGUGAAAUUGUUGAAAGGGAAGGGCAUUUGAUCAGACAUGGUGUUUUGUGCCCUCUGCUCCUUGUGGGUAGGGGAAUCUCGCAUUUCACUGGGCCAGCAUCAGUUUUGGUGGCAGGAUAAAUCCAUAGGAAUGUAGCUUGCCUCGGUAAGUAUUAUAGCCUGUGGGAAUACUGCCAGCUGGGACUGAGGACUGCGACGUAAGUCAAGAAUGCUGGCAUAAUGGUUAUAUGCCGC
rnacentral:rRNA from 1 species